rnacentral:rRNA from 1 species
UACGUAGGCAGCGAGCGUUGUUCGGAGUUACUGGGCGUAAAGGGUGUGUAGGCGCUUGUUUAAGUUUGGUGUGAAAUCUCCCGACUCAACUGGGAGGGUGCGCCGAAUACUGAAUGACUUGGAGUGCGGGAGAGGAAAGUGGAAUUCCUGGUGUAGCAGUGAAAUGCGUAGAUAUCAGGAGGAAUACCGAUGGCGAAGGCAGGUCUCUGGGCUGACACUGACGCUCAUGCACGAAAGCGUGGGGAGCAAACAGG